UGGGGAAUAUUGGACAAUGGGCGAAAGCCUGAUCCAGCCAUGCCGCGUGUGUGAAGAAGGUCUUCGGAUUGUAAAGCACUUUAAGUUGGGAGGAAGGUCAGUAAGCGAAUACCUUGCUGUUUUGACGUUACCGACAGAAUAAGCACCGGCUAACUCUGUGCCAGCAGCCGCGGUAAUACAGAGGGUGCAAGCGUUAAUCGGAAUUACUGGGCGUAAAGCGCGCGUAGGUCGUUCGUUAAGUUGAAUGUGAAAGCCCCGGGCUCAACCUGGGAACUGCAUCCAAAACUGGCGAGCUAGAGUAGGGCAGAGGGUGGUGGAAUUUCCUGGGUAGCGGUGAAAUGCGUAGAUAUAGGGAGGAACACCAGUGGCGAAGGCGACCACCUGGGCUCAUACUGACACUGAAGUGCGAAAGCGUGGGGAGCAAACAGG
rnacentral:rRNA from 1 species